rnacentral:rRNA from 1 species
UGUUUGAUUUAAACCAAUACCCUUCGGGGUUGUACUGGUGAUUCAGAACAACUAAGCGAAUCGCAGAGCUUCGGCGGCGAUGAAUCAUUCGAGUUUCUGCCCCAUCAGUUGUCGAAGAUAGGGUAUUGGCCUAUCUUGACUAUCACGGGUGACGGAGAAUCAGGGUUCGAUUCCGGAGAGGGAGCCUUAGAGACGGCUACCACAUCCAAGGAAGGCAGCAGGGGCGUAAAUUACUCAAUACCAAAUCGGUGAAGUAGUGACGAGAAAUAUCAUUAAGGAACACUUCGUGUUUUUUAAAUGAAAUGAGAGCAACGUAAAAACCUCAUCGAGGAUCAAUUGGAGGGCAAGUCUGGUGCCAGCAGCCGCGGUAAUUCCAGCUCCAAUAGCGAAUACUAAUUCUGCUGCAGUUAAAAAGCUCGUAGUUGAACUUCCGGUAAGACGUGCCCGGCCUUAGCGUGAACUCGCUUUGUCGCUGUGUGUAUCGUUUGGCCAUCCUCCGCUAGCAAUAGCG